AAAAAGGGUGUCUGCCGCUUAUAUGGUACAUGGGCCUUACGGGGUCCGUGGGGUAUGGCCAUCAAUACAUACCCGGCACGUAAUUUUUGGAAAUUGGGGCAGUUGGUUACCAAAGCGUACCGGCGCCCCU